CCUGGUAUGAAAGGUUUGACGAGGAAAAAGCUGUUUCUAUUUUAAUUUUAUAGAAUUUUAUUUUUAAGUCAAAAAGCUUAAAUUAAUUUAAAAGACGAGAAGACCCUAUAGAGUUUUAUAAAAUAAAUAAUUUAAAAUUAUUUGAAUUAUAUAUUAUAAAUUAUUUAUUUUAUUUUAUUGGGGUGAUGGAAAAAUUUAAAAAACUUUUUUUUUAUAAUAACAUUUAUUUAUGAAUUAUUGAUCCAUAUUAAUGAUUAUAAGAUUAAAUUACCUUAGGGAUAACAGCGAA
rnacentral:rRNA from 1 species